CCGCCUGCCCAGUGAUAUAAUUAUUAAACGGCCGCGGUAUUUUGACCGUGCGAAGGUAGCGCAAUAAAUUGUCUCUUAAUUGGGGACUAGUAUGAAUGGCAUCACGAGAGCUUAACUGUCUCCCCUUUAAAGUCAAUGAAAUUGAUCUCCCCGUGCAGAAGCGGGGAUAAAAACGUAAGACGAGAAGACCCUAUGGAGCUUAAGAUAUAAAGCAACUCAUGUCAAAUACCCCUAAAGGAUCCGAACAAGAUGAGCCUUGCCAGCAUGUCUUCGGUUGGGGCGACCACGGGGAAAGAUAAAACCCCCACAUGGACGGGCCACUCAGCCCUAAAACAUAAACCCACAGGUUAAAUUAACAGUACUUCUGACCACUAAAGACCCGGCUUUCGCCGAUUAAUGGACCUAGUUACCCUAGGGAUAACAGCGCAAUCCCCUCCAAGAGCUCUCAUCGACGAGGGGGUUUACGACCUCGAUGUUGGAUCAGGACAUCCUAAUGGUGCAGCCGCUAUUAAGGGUU
rnacentral:rRNA from 1 species